rnacentral:rRNA from 1 species
CACCUCCAGCAUUUCUAGUAUUGGAGGCACUGCCUGCCCGGUGACACUUGUUUAACGGCCGCGGUAUCCUGACCGUGCAAAGGUAGCAUAAUCAUUUGUUCUCUAAAUAGGGACUUGUAUGAAUGGCCACACGAGGGUUUAACUGUCUCUUACUCCCAAUCAGUGAAAUUGACCUUCCCGUGAAGAGGCGGGAAUACCAUAAUAAGACUAGAAGACCCUAUGGAGCUUUAAUUAACUAACCCAAACUUAUGGAUACUAAAUACCUAUAAGGCAUAACAUAACACCAUCAUUAUGGGUUAGCAAUUUAGGUUGGGGUGACCUCGGAAUAUAAAAAAACUCCCGAGUGAUUAAAAUCUAGACCCACAAGUCAAAAUGUAACAUCACUUAUUGAUCCAAUAACUUUUGAUCAACGGAACAAGUUACCCUAGGGAUAACAGCGCAAUCCUAUUCAAGAGUCCAUAUCGACAAUAGGGUUUACGACCUCGAUGUUGGAUCAGGACAUCCUAAUGGUGCAGCAGCUAUUAAGGGUUCGUUUGUUCAACGAUUAAAGUCCU